UACGAAGGGUGCAAGCGUUACUCGGAAUUACUGGGCGUAAAGCGUGCGUAGGUGGUGAGUUAAGUCUGUCGUGAAAGCCCCGGGCUCAACCUGGGAAUGGCGAUGGAUACUGGCUCGCUAGAGUGCGGUAGAGGAGAGUGGAAUUCCCGGUGUAGCAGUGAAAUGCGUAGAGAUCGGGAGGAACACCAGUGGCGAAGGCGACUCGCUGGACAAGUAUUGACGCUGAGGUGCGAAAGCGUGGGGAGCAAACAGG
rnacentral:rRNA from 1 species